CAAAGAAUAAUAAGUAUUUCACAAUAAUGAGGAGGGCCAUCUUUGUUGCAUUCUUGGUUUUGUCUUAUAUUUUUAUAUUCCUUCUCGCAUCACCCGUUUCUGGCCAAGCCGCCCUACAAGGAGCAUGUGAUUCAUUUUGCGAUAGAACGGGUAAUUGUGUUGCACCAGUGUCUCCUGAGGGGGCGCAAUCAGUUGACACGGACGGAAUGAACCUCACCAAAGAUGAAUUAUAAAUUGGAUCGAUCUCCACAACAUCACGCACUAUUGUUAACAACGGUCAUUUAAACAUCAUUUCACAUUAUACUGCUUUUCAAAUUAAAUUAUUCAAAGUGUAGUAUGUAUUAUUUGUGAAA